rnacentral:rRNA from 1 species
UACGUAGGGACCGAGCGUUGUCCGGAAUCAUUGGGCGUAAAGAGCGUGUAGGCGGCCACUUAAGUCCUGCGUGAAAUCUUGCGGCUCAACCGCAAGCGGUCGUGGGAAACUGGGUGGCUAGAGUGCGGGAGAGGAGAGUGGAAUUCCUGGUGUAGCGGUGGAAUGCGCAGAUAUCAGGAAGAACACCCGUGGCGAAGGCGGCUCUCUGGAACGCAACUGACGCUGAGACGCGAAAGCGUGGGGAGCAAAGCAGG